CAGGACGAACGCUGGCGGCGUGCCUAAUACAUGCAAGGUCGAACGGUCUUUCUAUGGAAGCUUGCUUCCACUGAGAAGAUAGUGGCGAACGGGUGAGUAACACGUGGGUAACCUGCCCAUAAGAGGGGGAUAACAUCCGGAAACGGGUGCUAAUACCGCAUAGUUUUCUUGAUCGCAUGAUCGGGAAAGGAAAGACGGCCUUUGUGCUGUCGCUUAUGGAUGGACCCGCGGCGUAUUAGUUAGUUGGUGAGGUAACGGCUCACCAAGACGAUGAUACGUAGCCGACCUGAGAGGGUGAUCGGCCACAUUGGGACUGAGACACGGCCCAAACUCCUACGGGAGGCAGCAGUAGGGAAUCUUCCGCAAUGGACGAAAGUCUGACGGAGCAACGCCGCGUGAGUGAAGAAGGUUUUCGGAAUCGUAAAACUCUGUUGUCAGAGAAGAACAAGUUGGAGAGUAACUGCUCCAGCCUUGACGGUAUCUGACCAGAAAGCCACGGCUAACUACGUGCCAGCAGCUGC
rnacentral:rRNA from 1 species